ACCGACGAGAACGAUUACCAGAUCAAGUUGCGCAAUCUCAAGCGCUUCCUGGAUGAAGGCGACAAGUGCAAGGUGACCUUGCGCUUCCGCGGCCGGGAAAUGGCGCACCAGGAGUUCGGCUUGCGCCAGCUCGAGCGCAUCAAGGCCGACCUGGAUGAACUGGGCCAGGUCGAGCAGAUGCCGAAGAUGGAAGGGCGCCAGAUGAUCAUGAUCAUCGCGCCGAAAAAGAACCGCUGACCGGUUCAAUGAUUUUGUCCCUGCGGGGGCAAGGCCGUGGGGCAGGAGUCCUGCCCGGCGGAAAACAAGUGCUGUCGGGUGUCAAAACGCA
rnacentral:misc_RNA from 1 species